CCCUUAGAUGUUCUGGGCCGCACGCGCGCUACACUGUUCGACGCAGCGAGUCUUAACCUUGACCGAAAGGUUUGGGUAAUCUUCAGCAAAGUCGAACGUGAUGGGGAUCGAUCAUUGCAAUUAUUGAUCGUGAACGAGGAAUUCCUAGUAAGUGCAAGUCAUCAGCUUGCGCUGAUUACGUCCCUGCCCUUUGUACACACCGCCCGUCGCUACUACCGAUUGAAUGCUCAGGUGAGCCAUUCGGACUUUCAUCAUGCUGGUUUCCAGUUUUGAUGAAGGAAAGUCUUGCGAACCUUAUCAUUUAGAGGAAGGAGAAGUCGUAACA
rnacentral:rRNA from 1 species